GAUGAACGCUAGCUACAGGCUUAACACAUGCAAGUCGAGGGGAAACGACAUCGAAAGCUUGCUUUUGAUGGGCGUCGACCGGCGCACGGGUGAGUAACGCGUAUCCAACCUGCUCAUCACUUGGGAAUAACCUUGCGAAAGUAAGACUAAUACCCAAUGAUAUCCCACGAAGGCAUCGGAAUGGGAUUAAAGAUUUAUCGGUGAUGGAUGGGGCUGCGUCUGAUUAGCUUGUUGGCGGGGUAACGGCCCACCAAGGCAACGAUCAGUAGGGGUUCUGAGAGGAAGGUCCCCCACAUUGGAACUGAGACACGGUCCAAACUCCUACGGGAGGCAGCAGUGAGGAAUAUUGGUCAAUGGGCGAGAGCCUGAACCAGCCAAGUAGCGUGCAGGAAGACGGCCCUAUGGGUUGUAAACUGCUUUUAUAAGGGAAUAAAGUGGGUCACGUGUGACUUUUUGCAUGUACCUUAUGAAUAAGGACCGGCUAAUUCCGUG
rnacentral:rRNA from 1 species